rnacentral:tRNA from 1 species
ACCUGGGUGGCUCAGUCGGUUGAGCGUCUGACUUUGGUUCAGGUCAUGAUCUUGUGACUUGUGGGCUCGAGCCCCGCAUCGGGCU